ACCUACCUCCAAAAUUACCUCUCAGACCUCUCCGAUAUCCCUCACCAUUCCCCCGCCUCCCCCCGCUGCCGGAAAUUGCCCACGGCAGCGGCACAACCCCAAACCACCUCAAAUUAUCACCCUCUAGUCCCAAGACCACCCUCAGUCCAAAUCUAUUAUUGGUUUCCCCAGAAAACCCCUCAAUAAUGUCGAAUAGUAGAUCUAGGAAACACUAAAACCUAAAUCCACCCCAUUUUUGUUUUUUAUUUUCUCAAAUACCAGUUUGUUUGGGCUUAAUACUAACACCAAUCGACUUCUCUCGUUGAGUAUUAUAGAUUGGCGUUGGUUUCGCCUCGUUUUAAGACCGUCAGAAUUCGGUCAAACUCCGGUUGACUGUCCUAUUCAUCCCUUCCUCGCUUCGCUUCCUUUCUCCGGCCAGUAGGAGAUAUUGGUAUAUAAAACAUUGGAUUGCUCGGAUAAAUCCGGCCCAUGUUCAUGUGGCAAUCUCUCUGGCUCGCCAUAAUAUUCUCUAGUCGUUUUGAUUAACCUCAAUAGAGGGUUGAGUUGUAGGUUUGAUCACCAGUUGGUCAAAUCCAUCCAAUAAGUAGACUAAAGCAACAAAGUUGGCUCAUGUGAUUUUGUUGCCGCAUUGUCACGGAAGCAGUAUAAUAAUUAUAUCUAUUUAGAAUUGUUUAGGCCAGAAUUGUAAAGUCAAUUACGAUUCACACAAGGUUAUCUAUGUGAUAGACUCAUUUGAGUUAAAGUGUCAGUUUCUUCUUGUUAAAUAUAUUGAUCUGUUACAGGCAUAGUUAAUUUGUAAUAUUAAAAUGGAUGAGGAUUUCAUUUGUAGAAUCUGCUUAGUUCUCUGCACUUAGUGUCAUGUAUGUACUGGGCCUGGCGGGACUAUUUUCUAGGCCUUGAUGGGGUUUGGCCAUGUUUCUAAAAUGCUAUCACAUCUUGGGCUUCAUCUCUCAGCCCAAUUCUAUUUGUAUUUGAACCUGUCGGAGAUUUAGUUUUA